AUGAUGUACAUGAUGUUGUCCUUGAUAGUUAUUUAGAUAAUUGUUACUAAGAAAGUUUAAGGAUAUUUUCUUUUGGCAUGCAUUAACUUCAGCUUGCUCUUUAUUUUUGUUAUGCCUCUGUUUUGUUAAUAGUUUAAGGAUCAAGAAAGACAUGAUAUUAAUGUAUUAACAACUGGUACCUAACAUGGAACAAAACAGCAAAAUAGAAUGGAAGAGUGAAUCAAGAUGAUCUCACUCAAUUUACUGAUAUAGAUGAAAGGUAAUUCAAGAAAGAAAAGAUAAAGGCUGUGAUGGUAUCCAAAUUGUUGUGGUUCUUUUUUUAUUUUUAUAAUUGUGAAUUAGUUUAGUCAUUUUCACAUCCACUACAACAAAAGAGAAAGUGAUUUGACUUUUUAUCUUGCUUCUAACUUUAUACCCAUGUCAAAUGGGAAGCAGCC
rnacentral:lncRNA from 1 species